rnacentral:rRNA from 1 species
GAUGAACGCUAGCGGCAGGCUUAAUACAUGCAAGUCGAACGGUGUAGCAAUACACAGUGGCGCACGGGUGCGUAACACGUAUGCAACCUACCUAUUAUUGGGGGAUAGCCUUUGGAAACGGAGAUUAAUACCGCAUAAGACAGUGACAUGGCAUCAUGUAGCUGUUAAAGCUUCGGCGAUAAUAGAUGGGCCUGCGUCCAAUUAGUUAGUUGGUGAGGUAAUGGCUCACCAAGACGAUGAUUGGUAGGGGAUCUGAGAGGAUAAUCCCCCACACUGGCACUGAGAUACUGGCCAGACGCCUACGGGAGGCAGCAGUAGGGAAUAUUGGGGAAUGGGCGGAAGCCUGACCCAGCCAUGCCGCGUGCAGGAUGACGGCGUUAUGCGUUGUAAACUGCUUUUUUAUAGGAAGAAGAAGCCCUUGCGAGGGAAAGUGACGGUACUAUAAGAAUAAGCACCGGCUAACUCCGUGCCAGCCGCCGCAGUAACAC